GGUUCCAUGGCUCAGUUGGUUAGCGCGUGGUGCUAAUAUUUCACAUGUUACACCAAGGUCGAGAGUUCGACCCUCUCUGGAACCA
rnacentral:tRNA from 1 species